AUUCCAGCUCCAAUAGCGUAUAUUAAAUUUGUUGCAGUUAAAAAGCUCGUAGCUGGAUUUCUAUCGAAGUCAAAUUAGGUCCGCUUCAAUGAGGAUUCAGUUUGUGUCGAUAUUUAUCUUUCGUCCAUCUUUCUAGCGAAAGGCGGUACUAAAGAAAUUUUACUUUGAGUAAAUUAGAGUGUUUCAAGCAAGUUUUAGCUUUGAAUACUACAGCAUGGAAUAAUAGUAUAUAACUUUGGUUAUUGAUUAUUGGUUUAUUAGCUACAGUAAUGAUCAAGAAGAGCAGCUGGGGGCAUCCGUAUUCAACAGUCAGAGGUGAAAUUCUUAGAUUUGUUAAAGACGGACUACUGCGAAAGCAUCUGCCAUGGAUGUUUUCAUCA
rnacentral:rRNA from 1 species